CUAAAAGAUACUGCACAUGAUGUGUGGUUGCUCUGUUGAUGUUGUGAACCCACAAACACACUUGCGUGUUCAGCAAUAUCUUGAGAGCUGAACUUCCAAGUACAAAGAAAUGUGAGGUUGAGAUCGCUGGUGAAAAGGGAAAGGUUGUUGAGAUAAGCGGGCAAUGGAGGGGCAGAGAAUCUGAAUCAAUGGAUUGGAAAGCAGGCCGCUGGUGGGAGCAUGGAUAUGUUAGACGUAUCGAGCUGCCAGAGGAUGCGAAUUGGAAGAAGAUAGAGGCAUACAUUGAUGAUGAGAACCUUCUUCAGAUAAAAAUACCAAAGAAUAAUUCAGACUCUAAUGCUCUUCAAACCAGUGCUGUGGAGCCUAAGGAAUCUGAAUUUGUAUGAAUCAUGGCAAGCAUUGGAAAUUUCACUAUAAAAUUACUUGAACACAAGGAUACUACUUCAUAACAUAUGUACUAAAUAAUACUAAACCUUUACUA